UACGAAGGGGGCUAGCGUUGCUCGGAAUCACUGGGCGUAAAGCGCCCGUAGGCGGAUCUUUAAGUCAGGGGUGAAAUCCCAAGGCUCAACCUUGGAACUGCCUUUGAUACUGGGGAUCUCGAGUCCGGAAGAGGUUGGUGGAACUGCGAGUGUAGAGGUGAAAUUCGUAGAUAUUCGCAAGAACACCAGUGGCGAAGGCGGCCAACUGGUCCGGUACUGACGCUGAGGUGCGAAAGCGUGGGGAGCAAACAGG
rnacentral:rRNA from 1 species